rnacentral:rRNA from 1 species
AUUGAACGCUGGCGGCAGGCCUAACACAUGCAAGUCGAACGAGUGGCGGACGGGUGAGUAAUGUCUGGGAAACUGCCUGAUGGAGGGGGAUAACUACUGGAAACGGUAGCUAAUACCGCAUAUUAUUCGAGCGGCCGCUGUCUGAUUAGCUGGUUGGCGGGGUAAAGGCCCACCAAGGCGACGAUCAGUAGCGGGUCUGAGAGGAUGAUCCGCCACACUGGGACUGAGACACGGCCCAGACUCCUACGGGAGGCAGCAGUGGGGAAUUUUGGACAAUGGGCGCAAGCCUGAUCCAGCCAUGCCGCGUGUAUGAAGAAGGCCUUCGGGUUGUAAAGUACUUUCAGUCGGGAGGCGUUACCGACAGAAGAAGCACCGGCUAACUCCGUGCCAGCAGCCGCGGUAAUAC